GGGUGGCGACCAAUGGCGAGCCGCGCGGGAGAUCGGACCAGGAACCCGCUGCUUUUAUUGGCGGAGGGAGUCAGGCCGCUCCACCCUCUUUGCGCCGACGCGCGGGGAGGGGUUGGUGGGGGGCCCAGACGCUGGCGGGUCGACUGUGCUCAGCGUGGCGGGUGUCGCGGGGGCACGAACGGCGGGAUUGGGGCUUCCAGCCUUGGAGGCUGCGGGGACCGCUCCUUAGCCGCCGGGCGCGGCUGCUUCCUUCCCCAUCUCCUUAGGCCCUGGGGUAGGGUGGUGAGCAAAGGAGAUGGCCCUGCCUUCAUGGAGCAGCCAGUGCUGAGGAGCGGCGACUGUUGCCGGCAAAAGCCUAAAUAUGGUGCCAUUUACACCUCGUCUCUUCUGAAAUUAGAAAGUGGAAGAGAAAGGGAAAGACAGAGAGAAACAUCCAUGUGAGAGAAAC